AGACUAGACCGAAGCAAGAACUGCAAAAGGCAUUUCAAUGCGCUUUCACACAUUUGGAAGAAGAUUAUGUCUUCCCCCGUUUCCAAAGAGCUAAGACAGAAGUACGACGUUUGAUCCAUGACCAUCCGGAAGGAUGAUGUUCAGACUGUGCAAGGACAUUGUAAAGGUCAGCAAAUUGGCCACGUACUCAAGGUUUACAGGAAGAAAGAUGUCAUCUACACUGAAUGGGUGCAGCAGCAAAAGGCUAAUGGUACAACUGUCCGUGUAGGCAUUCACCCCAGCAAAGUGGUUAUCACUAGGCUAAAAGUGGACAAAGACCAUAAAAAGAUCCAUGAACAGAAAGCCAAAUCUUGCCAAGUAGGAAAGAAAAAGGGCAAAUACAAGAAAGAAACAAUUGAGAAGAUACAGGAAU
rnacentral:lncRNA from 1 species